rnacentral:rRNA from 1 species
GGGUUGUGAGGUUAAGCGACUAAGCGUACACGGUGGAUGCCCUGGCAGUCAGAGGCGAUGAAGGACGUGCUAAUCUGCGAAAAGCGUCGGUAAGGUGAUAUGAACCGUUACAGCCGGCGAUGUCCGAAUGGGGAAACCCAGUGUGAUUCGUCACACUAUCGUUAACUGAAUACAUAGGUUAACGAGGCGAACCGGGGGAACUGAAACAUCUAAGUACCCCGAGGAAAAGAAAUCAACCGAGAUUCCCCCAGUAGCGGCGAGCGAACGGGGAGCAGCCCAGAGUCUGAAUCAGCUUGUGUGUUAGUGGAACGGUCUGGAAAGUCCGACGGUACAGGGUGAUAGUCCCGUACACCAAAAUGCACAGGCUGUGAACUCGAAGAGUAGGGCGGGACACGUGGUAUCCUGUCUGAAUAUGGGGGGACCAUCCUCCAAGGCUAAAUACUCCUGACUGACCGAUAGUGAACCAGUACCGUGAGGGAAAGGCGAAAAGAACCCCGGCGAGGGGAGUGAAAAAGAACCUGAAACCGUGUACGUACAAGCAGUGGGAGCACCUUUAUGGUGUGACUGCGUACCUUUUGUAUAAUGGGUCAGCGACUUAUAUUCUGUAGCAAGGUUAACCGUAUAGGGGAGCCGCAGGGAAACCGAGUCUUAACUGGGCGUUAAGUUGCAGGGUAUAGACCCGAAACCCGGUGAUCUAGCCAUGGGCAGGUUGAAGGUUGGGUAACACUAACUGGAGGACCGAACCGACUAAUGUUGAAAAAUUAGCGGAUGACUUGUGGCUGGGGGUGAAAGGCCAAUCAAACCGGGAGAUAGCUGGUUCUCCCCGAAAGCUAUUUAGGUAGCGCCUCGUGAACUCAUCUUCGGGGGUAGAGCACUGUUUCGGCUAGGGGGUCAUCCCGACUUACCAACCCGAUGCAAACUACGAAUACCGAAGAAUGUUAUCACGGGAGACACACGGCGGGUGCUAACGUCCGUCGUGAAGAGGGAAACAACCCAGACCGCCAGCUAAGGUCCCAAAGUCAUGGUUAAGUGGGAAACGAUGUGGGAAGGCACAGACAGCCAGGAUGUUGGCUUAGAAGCAGCCAUCAUUUAAAGAAAGCGUAAUAGCUCACUGGUCGAGUCGGCCUGCGCGGAAGAUGUAACGGGGCUAAACCAUGCACCGAAGCUGCGGCAGCGACACGAUGUGUUGUUGGGUAGGGGAGCGUUCUGUAAGCCUGCGAAGGUGGCCUGUGAGGGCUGCUGGAGGUAUCAGAAGUGCGAAUGCUGACAUAAGUAACGAUAAAGCGGGUGAAAAGCCCGCUCGCCGGAAGACCAAGGGUUCCUGUCCAACGUUAAUCGGGGCAGGGUGAGUCGACCCCUAAGGCGAGGCCGAAAGGCGUAGUCGAUGGGAAACAGGUUAAUAUUCCUGUACUUGGUGUUACUGCGAAGGGGGGACGGAGAAGGCUAUGUUAGCCGGGCGACGGUUGUCCCGGUUUAAGCAUGUAGGCUGGUUAUCCAGGCAAAUCCGGAUAAUCAAGGCUGAGGUGUGAUGACGAGGCACUACGGUGCUGAAGUAACAAAUGCCCUGCUUCCAGGAAAAGCCUCUAAGCAUCAGGUAACACGAAAUCGUACCCCAAACCGACACAGGUGGUCAGGUAGAGAAUACCAAGGCGCUUGAGAGAACUCGGGUGAAGGAACUAGGCAAAAUGGUGCCGUAACUUCGGGAGAAGGCACGCUGGUGUGUAGGUGAAGUCCCUGCGGAUGGAGCUGAGACCAGUCGAAGAUACCAGCUGGCUGCAACUGUUUAUUAAAAACACAGCACUGUGCAAACACGAAAGUGGACGUAUACGGUGUGACGCCUGCCCGGUGCCGGAAGGUUAAUUGAUGGGGUUAUCCGUAAGGAGAAGCUCUUGAUCGAAGCCCCGGUAAACGGCGGCCGUAACUAUAACGGUCCUAAGGUAGCGAAAUUCCUUGUCGGGUAAGUUCCGACCUGCACGAAUGGCGUAAUGAUGGCCAGGCUGUCUCCACCCGAGACUCAGUGAAAUUGAACUCGCUGUGAAGAUGCAGUGUACCCGCGGCAAGACGGAAAGACCCCGUGAACCUUUACUAUAGCUUGACACUGAACAUUGAGCCUUGAUGUGUAGGAUAGGUGGGAGGCUUUGAAGCGUGGACGCCAGUCUGCGUGGAGCCAACCUUGAAAUACCACCCUUUAAUGUUUGAUGUUCUAACGUUGGCCCCUUACCGGGGUUGCGGACAGUGUCUGGUGGGUAGUUUGACUGGGGCGGUCUCCUCCCAAAGCGUAACGGAGGAGCACGAAGGUUAGCUAAUCCUGGUCGGACAUCAGGAGGUUAGUGCAAUGGCAUAAGCUAGCUUGACUGCGAGCGUGACGGCGCGAGCAGGUGCGAAAGCAGGUCAUAGUGAUCCGGUGGUUCUGAAUGGAAGGGCCAUCGCUCAACGGAUAAAAGGUACUCCGGGGAUAACAGGCUGAUACCGCCCAAGAGUUCAUAUCGACGGCGGUGUUUGGCACCUCGAUGUCGGCUCAUCACAUCCUGGGGCUGAAGUAGGUCCCAAGGGUAUGGCUGUUCGCCAUUUAAAGUGGUACGCGAGCUGGGUUUAGAACGUCGUGAGACAGUUCGGUCCCUAUCUGCCGUGGGCGCUGGAGAAUUGAGGGGGGCUGCUCCUAGUACGAGAGGACCGGAGUGGACGCAUCACUGGUGUUCGGGUUGUCAUGCCAAUGGCACUGCCCGGUAGCUAAAUGCGGAAGAGAUAAGUGCUGAAAGCAUCUAAGCACGAAACUUGCCCCGAGAUGAGUUCUCCCUGAGACUUUAAGUCUCCUGAAGGAACGUUGAAGACGACGACGUUGAUAGGCCGGGUGUGUAAGCGCAGCGAUGCGUUGAGCUAACCGGUACUAAUGAACCGUGAGGCUUAACCUUACAACGCCGAAG